UGAGGAUUCUGGAACAUUUGGAUCGCCAAGUGAAUUUUCAGCCCGAACGAUCCCUUACAGCUGCUUGGACUUAGUCCCUGUAACAACAUCAAGUUCUAAAUGUCCCCUUUCAUUUUCACCCAUGUUCUAAGGUACGUUUGUAAUGACUCAGGGUAACAUUCUGGUAGUUUAUCAAUAUUUACCAUCUUGAAAUAUCUUGAUAAUCCGAUUAAUAAAUGUUCUUAGAGUUCACUGCUCAAUUACUGUUUGCCUAAUUCUGCUAUAGUUACCAUGACUGAAACAAGAGAUAUAUAAAAGAUGAUUUCUUCUGCUUUCAGUGAACUUGUGAUAUUGACUUAAUGACAAAACAAGAAACUUCAAAAAUUAGAGAAAAGUAACUUCUGUGAGAACGAGAACCAUGCCUUUAUUUUUCUGCCACUUCAUUAUCUCUGAUGCUGACUUUGAACUCUGACAAUUAGCAUGCAAAAGUAUGUGUUGAAUAGAUGGUGAAUAAACAAACAUUUAAUGGUAUGAUUGUUCCUGAAAAUUUAACUGCCUACAAUAUUAUUAUGAUUACGUCACUCAUAUAUUUAGACAUGACAAACAAAAAUAAUACAACAAAAAAUUAGAAAGAAUUUGCUUGCACAGAUGGGCAGCCUUUGAACCCUCCCACAGCCUGACCUUCACCAAACUUCACCAGCUCAUUUCCCAUUCCUUCCAUUUACUCUCUAUACCAUCUCAGACUGUGAGUCUAGCUCUGUUAGUCUGAUUUACUCUUCCAUGUCAACCUGCUUCAAUACAUAUAGUUCUCUAAACCUGAAAUGCCUUAUCUUCCAAUGUCCCUUGACCUGCAUUAUUCAAAUCCACAUUCAAGGCACAUAUAACUUAUAAAGAUCCAAAUUCACAGGUCCCCUGUCUUUCUGAAAAGUAUAGCUUUUAUCAUUUUUAUUAGAGUCAUUUCAGACUUUCUUUCCCAUUAGAAAAUUUUGAGGGGUGAGAAGUACAAUUUUUUUCUUGUUUUUUUUUUUUUUUAAUUCAUUAUUCAUUUGCUCUACAGUCACAAUUUAAGUCAAAUGCAAUAUUGGAGAGAACCCAGAAAUAACCCCAGACACCUACGGUCAACCAACUUUUUGACCAAGGAGGCAAGAAUAUAAAAUGGGCAAAAGACAGUCUCUUCAACAAGUGGUGCUGGGAAAACUGGACAGCUGUGUGUGAAUCAGGGAAACUAGAACACACCCUCACACCAUGCACAAAAAUAAACUUAAAAUGGCUUAAAGACUUAAACAUAGGACAGGACACUAUAAAAGUAGAAGAGAACAGAGGCAAAGCAUUCUUUGACAUCCACCCUACAAAUGUUUUCUUAGGUCAGUCUCCCAUGGCAAUAGAAAUACAAACUAAAAUUAAAUCCUAUAAAAGAAAAGAGUACUUAAAAAAUAGCAUAGCCGAAACUGGAAAGCCAACACAUGAAAUCAUUGUUAAAGAUUAUUUUUUUUCUCUGUAAUAAAAACUUAUGAAGAUGUAAGAUGGUUAAGGAUUUUAUCUGGAUUCUAAUUUCCACGGGAAGAUGUUAGUCAAAAAACAAAGCACUAAUAAAAUACAUUUUCAGGAGAUUAUUCUGGCUGUAUAAUGGUGGAAAAAAAUAGUGAGUCUGAAGCAAAAUAGAUCUUAGGAGGAGAAAUCAGUUGAUCAUGUUAGAAAUUCAAAAGAGAGAUGAUGCUAGAUUGAAACAGAAUGGUCCAUGAAGGUAAGACAAGUUUGGAAUAUAUUUUUGAAAGGAAAUAAUGAGGUUUGCUGGCAGAUGGGAAAUAAUGGGCAUUGUGGAAGACACACCUGCUACACACCCAACUUCCCAAUACCUUCUCAUACACAGUAUCCCAACAUCUAUUACACCUCCAGCAUCCCAACAUCAGCUCUAUAUCCAACAUCCCAUCAUCAGCUACACAUCUAGAGUCCAUUCCUCCUCGACCUUCUUCCCUUCCAACAGACUUUGUCCCUGCUAAUGACAGAAGCCAAUGGAUAUUAGAAAGGACGACAUCUCUUGCCUCAGGCCCCGAGCAUGGACUGUGAUUGCCUAAUACUGAUAGCACAUUUUAAUUAUUUUUGGUCAGUGAUGGAGUUAGGGUGACCAUGGGACAAAUUCUAGAUAAAAGGAUGGGAGCAAAUGCCAACUUAUUAGGUUUCCUAGGAGGCCUUUGCUUUCCUAAUAUAAGGUGACAAAUUCAGCUGGCAAGUCUCUUCCCUCUUUAGCCCAUUCACAUUUAUAUUAGCUCCCUAUUUCUGCUCGAACAAAAGCGUGACUUAAAACAACACACAUGUAUUUUCUGACAGUUCUGCAGUUCGGAAUUCUGAAAUGGGACUUACUGGGCCAAAGUCACCUGGAGGUUCGAGGGGAGAAUCUGUUUCUGUUUUCCUACAUCCAUGGGAGAAGCCGCUAAUAUCUGGCUCUUGGCCUCCUACUAUCAUUAAAGUCAGCAUUUGCCAGUUGAAUUUUUCUCACACUCUUUCGCUCUGUUUUCAUCAUCACAUCUCCCCUUCUGAAUCUCCUGACUUGUUCUUUUACUUAUAAGGACGCUCGUAGUUAUAUUGGGCCCACCCCAAUAAGCCAGGACAAGCUCUCCAUCUCAGAAUCCUUAAUUUAAUCACAUCUGCAAAAUCUUGUUUACUAUGUUAGGUAACCAUUUCACAGGUUCUGAGCAUCAGAACAUAAAAUUUUGGUGGGAGGGGCAUACUUAUGCUUACCCCAGUGUUUUUUAAUCUUAACUGAUACAUAAUGCCUUAGAAUGGAAUAAUUUGCCAAGAGACAGUGAGCACAAGUGAAAGACCAUCUCCCAGUGCAAACUCUAACACUGUCUGGCCUCUGGACUGUUAGUAGACUGAAAUAUAACUCAGUGCACAGUGAACUCUCCUUGGUUAAGCAUGCUUAUCUGCGUUAUCUUUUCCUGUAGCCAUCCAUGGUAAGAAGUACAUCUUUAUGUAAUAAUCCACAAGGUGUCAUGGCCUUCAUUUGAAAAACAAAAACAAAAAACAAAUCAUUGUCCUAAGAAUAAAGAUUCUUUUAAGUUUUUUAAUUUUAUUUUUCUGUUUUCUUUAUAUUAUACUGUAGUUCAUUUGAACUUUGUAAACAAAGCAGUGGUCACAUUGAAAUCACUUGGGAAAAGGCCCUCUUUUGUGCUCAACUCCAUAUAGCUCAAUAGUACCUGAUAACUUCAAUCAGCUGCUACUUCCUGAAAUUCCCCAUCCUUUGCCUUGAAGAUUUUAUUUCUUUCUACCCUUUCCAUUUUGUAUUCUUUCUUAUUAUUGUCCUUCAUCCUACUCUCCUUUAAUUUUGUUACCUCAAGGAAUGUUAUUUAAAAAAUUUUUUUUGUCUUUUGUCUUUUUAGGGCUGCACCCAUGGCAUACGGAGGCUCCUAGCUUAGAGGGUCUAAUUGGAGCUACAGCUGGCCAGCCUAUCCACAGCCACAGCAACACGGGAUCUGAGCUGCCUCUGUGACCUGCACCACAGCUCAUGGCAAUGCUGGAUUUUAACCCACUGAGCGAGGCCAGGGAUCAAACCAGCAAUCUCAAGGUUCCUAGUCAAAUUUCUAGGAAUUUCUGCUGCGCCCCAAUGAGAACUCCUGUUUUUCAAAAUUUUGACAAAGAUUUACAAAGAGAAUUGCCUUUACGUCACAAACAACUACACACACAUGUGCCGUUGGUUCUCAACUUUAUUUUCUCAAUUAAAAAUUUUUAGAAAAAUAAUUGCUAUGUGGAUGCAAGGACUCCAUUCCUAUCAGAUGCCAACUGCUUUGGGUUCCAGAGCCCAUAGUCUUGCACUGAUUUCUUUCUAUUUCAUUAUUACCUAAGAAAUGUUUUCUAUUACACCUUACCAGAAAAGAAAACAAAGACCAAGAGGAUGAAUUUCCUUAAUUCCAUCUCUCUCUCCAGGUUUGCUCCAGUUUUCUUCUGCUACCCUUAAGAGGAAAACUUCUAGAAAGAGCUAUGCAUAAUCACAUUCUCCACUUUACCUCUCAACUCUGUAUUUACACUACUCUAAUUGAACUUUCAUUGUUACAAGCUAAUUUUUGUCAAGUUAUAGGUAGCCAAGUCCAAUGGUAGCUCUUCUGUUCUUAUCCAUGAAAUCGGAAACACUUUCAACAGAGUUUACCACUCACUUUUAUGUUUGAGGCUUUCUUCUCGUGACUUCAGGAAUCCCAUUCUCUCCUUAUUUGUCUCCUAGUCAUUGACACUCUCCUACUGAUUACAUUUGCUGGCUCCUCACCCAGGUCUCAGCAGGGUCCUAGAACCUUUCCUGGAUCCUUUAUUCUUUUCCAUCUACAAAGAAAAACUCUUGACCCAAUCUAAUCUCUGGGCUCUAACCAGCAUCCAUAGAAACAAGUCUAAAUCACACAUUUUGAUCUCUCCCUGGAACUAUGACUUAUAUAAUCAGCUACAGACUGGCCAUCUCCACAUACAAAAUAUAAAAUUGCAGAGGUGCAGCUAGCCUAAAGACAGUCUUCUCAGUCCUCUUUUUUCCUAAGUGGCAAAAGUGAAAUGGUUAAAAAAUGAGUAAUUUACCCGACUUCACACUGAUCAUCAGGCAUAAAUUAAAGAUGCUUCUAAGCCAACACCAUUAGCUGAUUAGGAUGCCCCCCCCCCCAAAAAAAAAUGUAAUGCAUACAUCAAAUACUCAGAAACAGGAGAAUACGAUUCCUUUUCUGUUUGCCUGGAAGGUCCAAUGUUGGCCAAACCCCAUUGGCUAGACUCCUGGAGCUACAAGCCCUGAAUUCAUUCCAUCCCAUGCUGAGUAUCACAGCAGAGGCAAAACUACAUUUCUCUUCAACUUUCCCAAAUAAUUCAAUCUGAUGUUUACAUUCCCUUCUUUUCUCUCCCUGCUGAAAGGCUUUACUACAUGAUGCAGGUUUACAUGUUCUCAAACGUAACUAUAUUCCCAUUUAUUGACUAAAAAUCACUGCUGUGAUAUUAAGUUAUUGCAAAGUUAGGUAUAACCACUUAGUGAAUGAUCAUUUUUGUAGAUAAUCAUCACUGCAGUGUCUGGCUCUUUUUAAAUUAUCCCAUCAAGUAGUUGCAUUUCACUCAGAGCUGAGAUUCAGAUCAUUUAUGCAAAUUUCAAAAUCCGCAAGACUUACAGAUUUCCAAAAAUAGUUGGAUUUAACAAUAUAGCUCCUUCAAAUGGUACUGUCUUUAUUGACAAGUUCUUUUAAGAUCAGAGAUAUUGCAGCCUUUGACAACCAACAUCUGAAGGUUUAUAUUAUUAAAGAAUAAAUUUUUCACAUAGCAUUUUUUUCCUCCACCUUGAGUCUUCAUGCAUUAAUGUUAAUCGCCAGGAUAAACAAUUCAAAAUGAGAUUACAGCUAAAAAUGGCAAUGGCUAAACAAAUUCUCCGUGAUCAUGAGGAUGACUCAAUUAAAGCGAAUUACAGCUAAAUGCAGGGCAGCAACAGGGAAACAGGGAAAUAAGAGAAAUUAUCUGUAUCAAAAACAAAGUUCUAAUGCCAAAAUAUUUAAGAAUAGUGCAAAAUGGUCUGGCUUGAGAAAAUAAACCAAAUGCCAAUGGUUUACGAUUACAAUGAUCACGAAUGCCAGGUACUUUGAAUACUUAGCAUUUUGCAUGCCAGAUAGCUUACUGGGGAACACCAAUUACAUGAAUGUCGGCUAUAGAUCGAACAACUACUGGUUUUAUUUUCCCCAUAGCGAUACCCAGCUAUAACUCUGUAUGCUCUUCCAUUUCCACAAGCUCUAGAGAGCCUAUGUUAUACAAGGUGUCAGAGCACUGAAAAGAAAGGGUUUCUGGGACUUAAACAUCAGGAAGUUUACUGAACCAAUGUACACCUACUCUUGUCAUUUGUUAAUAAAUAUUCUUUUGCACAGGACAGGAUUUGGCUAUAGAGUUAUUUGUAUUACAAAACGUAGGAUUUUUCAGGGGAAAAAAAACACCUAAUCCUCUCAUAUCAUGUUGUCAAAUUCAGAGAGAAAUGAUUAUUAAGCAUCAGCCAAUUCCAAUCACCAUGUGGAAGGGGACAAUGGCAGGACCCUCAGCCUCCUCUUGGGGCUGAUGUCAUACGGGGGAGCAAAGGGAGGAUUGUGCAGGGGAGGACGCUUGUUGAAGUCCUGCCGAUCCAGGCCUGGCUACCUCUGGCAAGUACCUUCCAUUAUUCUCAGACACUGACCACAGGACAGGAUAGAUAGGACAUGGCAUUCUAUACCAUUUUGGCUUGAAACAGGGGUAUGUGAAACUGUCAAAGAAAAACUAGAGCCUGAAGUGGUUAAGG
rnacentral:lncRNA from 1 species